CCUACGGAGUGCAGCAGUGAGGAAUAUUGGUCAAUGGGCACGAGCCUGAACCAGCCAAGUCGCGUGAGGGAAGACGGCCCUACGGGUUGUAAACCUCUUUUGCCGGGGAGCAACGGGCGCCACGUGUGGCGCCCCUGAGAGUACCCGGAGAAAAAGCCUCGGCUAACUCCGUGCCAGCAGCCGCGGUAAUACGGAGGAUGCGAGCGUUAUCCGGAUUUAUUGGUUUUAAAGGGUGCGUAGGCGGGGCGUUAAGUCAGUGGUCAAAUUGAGGGGCUCAACCCCUUCCCGCCAUUGAAACUGGCGCUCUUGAGUGGAAGAGAAGUAGGCGGAAUGCGUGGUGUAGCGGUGAAAUGCAUAGAUAUCACGCAGAACCCCGAUUGCGAAGGCAGCAUGCCGGAUUCCGACUGACGCUGAAGCACGAAAGCGUGGGGAUCGAACAGGAUUAGAUACCCCAGUAGUC
rnacentral:rRNA from 1 species